UAAUCACUUGUAAUGGAACAUGAUGGAUGAUAAUGUGAAAAAUAAUAUAUAUAUUUGUAUAACUGGGUCACUUUGCCAUACAGCAGAAAUUGACAGAACACUGCAAAUCAACUAUUAAAAAAAAAAAAAAAAAAGAAGAAGAAGAAGUGCCAAGUUUACCUUGUGGCCUUGAUGGACCCCUUCCCAUCACACGAGCUUGCCUGACUCUCCUGACCCUGAGCUCCUCCCAAGGCCGAAUAGUUCCCCCUUGAACUCCAGGAUUCAGCUUCGUCAGGCAGCUCCUGCUGCUGAGCACUAUGAAUUGACCUGAAAAGUGGAAUACCACCUUUAUGUGGAGGCUUUUGUUAAAACAGCUGCAGAGAAUUUAAGUCAGGCUCUGACCGGGGCUGACAAGAGCAGAGCAGGGAGGCAUAGUAACAGAAGCUGGAGGGGGAGUUCAAGCAUGGUUCCUACGUGUCUUCCCCAGAGGAACCCUGCCCAGCGUAAGGUUGGGACCCUUCCUAUGGUGGACUCUCCUUCUCCGGCAGGUGUCCAUCAGCCUGAUCUCCUUCAUCUCUCACCCUCUUAAAAGAAUAAUUUUCCUUUUCAAUGCAGUAUCAUCUGUAUCGGGGUAAGCCAUAUUCUGACGGGGCAAUUUGGUGAAAUGCCUAAGACCCCAGACUCUGGGGAUUUGCUUCUCAGAUCUGUAGUUGCUGAGAAGUGCUUUUAGACAGAUGAUUUAAGACACCUGUGCUUCAGCUGGUUCCUCUGUAAAUAACCCUUGUGAGCCUUAUAAAGAGAAUUGGGAAUCUGUAUUUAUAUAACCCUUAAAACAAUACCUGCCAUAUAGUUCCCAGGCUAGGGGUCUAACCAGAGCUGUAGCCUCUGGCCUACACCACAGCCACAGCAAUGUGGGAUCCGAGCCUUGUCUGCGACCUACACCACAGCUCAUGGCAAUGCCAGAUCACUGAUGCGUUAAGUUGGAUAAGACCUCCAUUAAUGAGAAAAAAAAGGACCUGAUUUCCUUGGGACCCAUCAGCUGUGGGAACACCUCUAUCUUACUCCCCUUCUACAUCACCUUUUGUCACCCACCACCUGUGUGCAGUGGCCCCAACAACAUACUUGUAUUUUAUUUACCCAUGCUUUUUUUUCCCCCUGUAUAAAAGUGUAUACAUUUAUGGGGGGAAAAAAUUCUACUCCGAGUAGAAUAAUUUAGACUCUAUUAAGGAGACAGGAAUAUGCUAAAACUUAAAAAAAGGGUAGAGUUACAGAAAAUUUUAAGGGGACAUUUCCAAAAACACACAUGUGGCCUCUUCCCACUGUUGUCUCCGUCUGACCCUGUUCUUGAUAUAUGACUCCCAAAGGUUCUUGAAGAGCUGGAUAGGUUCUUAGGUUUUUAUAUUGAAAUUGAUUCCCUCUUUAACCUGCCUGAUAAAAGUUGAGAUAUGGUCCUGGAUGCUUAAAACAAUGGAGGGGAAUGAUAUUAGGAUGUGUAGUGGGUAGAAAAGAGGAACGGAAGCCUAAGGAGGCAGGAGGGAAUGAGAAGCACCACGGCCGUAACUCCAGGUCUGGUGACAGUCGUGUGACAGAAGCCCUAUGUAUCGGCAUCACUGUUUGCAUGUGUGGUAUUUCCUUGGAAAAAGAUACUUAUGGAGUUCCCGUCGUGGCUCAGCAGAAACGAAUCUCACUAGUUCACAUGAGGAUGCAGGUUCGAUCCCUGGCCUUGCUAAGUUGGUUAAGGAUUUGGCGUUGCCGUGAGCUGUGGUGUAGGUUGCAGACUCAGCUUGGAUCCUGUGUUGCUGUGGCUGUGGUGUAGGCCGGCAGCUGCAGCUCCAAUUUGACCCCUAGCCUGGGAACCUCCUUCUGCCACAGGUGCAGCCCUAAAAAGGUAAAAAAAACACUCGUACCUUUUCUUUGCAUCAUGGCUUCCUUUGGUAUGAAUCGUCUACCGCCUAUAGGCCCCUUCUCAGAAAAGAAUUUUAAAUGAAUAAAACCUAUAGGAUUUUAAGGGAAGCCAGUUAUAGAUAAAGAAUAUAUUUAUUAGAAUAUUUUAAAAUUUGCGAUGUGCUAUAUAUGUGCUUCUUCAUAAUAUAUCUAAAUGUAUAAAAUGUGUUGUGAUCUAACACUUAGUGUAAAAAUGACCAUAACUCCAAGGUGGUGUUGAAAGGAAAAGUACUGCAAUUUAUGUCGGUGAUGGAAUCAUAGCAACUGCUGAUAAGACUGUGUUGUUUUUGGUGGUGGGGGUUUUUUCCCUCCAUUCACAAUAGAAUGAAAUGAUUACUUUCAGGGAGAAGUUAGCAAAGGAAAGAUUUUUUUUUUUUUCCUCUAAGAUUUCCAGAUAUCCCUGAAUUCUACGUGUAGACCCCUGGGUGUCUGCACCCUAGAUUGAGAGCUCCUGUUCAGAAGCAGCAUUGACUACAGUACCGCCAGAGUGGGGGUGUGGCGAUAGAUGCUACGAGGACAGUGGAAAAUUCUGCAUGUUGAUGAGCUUUAUGGCGAAGGAAUCCUGUCCUCCAUUUUGGAUUUUUAAGAGAAAAUCGGAAGGGUAUGAUUUUUAAGUAAGGUUUUCUUCAAGCUUCAAGGCCCAUUUCAUUUUCCAUACUAGUGCUUUGAAUUACCUAUAAAAUUCAUAGAACCCUAUGAGCUUUUUCACUUAAACACUGAAUAUGAAAUAUUGCCAAUAAGAGAUAAUUUAGGAUAUUUUUCUAUGCAUGGACAUAUUAUAUAAGUCCUCAUUAUAGUUUUUAGUUUAAAGUGUAUUCCCCCACAUUUCAAAAAACUAGGCAAGCUAAUCGCUCAUUUCUGAUUGCACUUCUCAUGUCAUUUACACGUAUUGAACUAAAUAUUUGAGCAGAGUUGUUGGCCAGUAAGUAAUGCAAGGGAAUGUGGCAAAGAGUUUGCUCUAAUUUCCUUGCUAUUCUUUUCAUGAGGUUUUAGAAAUUGUCUUGUUCUGACCUCUAGGAAUACACUUAAAGUGAGUUUUCAGUUUUGUUUAAUAGCUGUUUACUUAUCUGUUGAUUUUAAUAUAUUCUUGUGUGUAAUUGCCAAGAUCUUUUAGAAAGAAAUCCUUGGAGGUAAUGUGCCCAGAACCUAUAGAUUUUUAAAAUUUUGUUGUUACUUUUAGAUCGUCAGUCCUCCUGCCUCCUGACAUACAGACCAACUUGUCUCUCGUACACUUUAUUUCCAGUUGCUAAAUGCAAUGAAGAGAGUCAGACAUAGUCAGAAGGAAGAGGCCUAUGAGUUAUGGGUGAUUGCUUUUAUGUAUUAACAGUGCCUACGGAGGGUCUCAUUAACACACACAGCAUGGGGAAUUUUUAGAGCCACCACGCAGAGCUCAGAAAACCCAACUGCAAAGAAGACUUGAUUGUUUACAUCUGGGUAUUUUUAUUUUAUUUGGAGCUUUAAGGGACUUUAAUGAAACUUCUUGGGGCAGGUGUUAUGCCAUGUGGCACAGGCACUGGACCACCGCCAUGGCUUUAGAGAUUUAUUGAAGCUUCUCCUUCUAGUGGGAGUGAUAUGAAUCCUUGGACUGUUUCCAUUCAGUGAUGACAUGCGCGUACAAAUCGGCAAUAAAGCUGCUUAAAACAACCAGCAGCCUUCUAGAAAGAGACUUCUUGGUAGGGCCUGAAAGAGAGCAUCUUUGUCAACGGUGUCUUUACUGGAUGCAAAUCUUUCUUUCUCCUUACAUAUUGACUUAUUUUACCAAUUUGAUACAGAUGCUGUUGUGGGGUAAUUGGUAUGGGCUGGGGGAUGUAGAUGUGGUUUCCUAUACACUAAUGAAUGCUCCUAAACUCAGAUUGAAUCUCUCUCUCUCUCUCUCUCUCACUCACACUCACACUCACACACACACAUUCAUAUCUAUGGUUAUGAAAGGUGGCAUAGCCAUUAAGAGCAGUAUCUGGGACCUGCUGCAGGUAACACCAGGACUCACAGUGCUGUUCUGAGUUCUACCACUGGCACAGAAGCCUUCCUCACCACGGUGCGUCCACACCAGCCUUGAGGCCGGGACGAAAGAACAGCCUUUCCAGGACUGCUUGCGAUAAGCAUUCCUCGUGGGCUCUGUAGUGAGGCCAGAAGCUCUGGAGAACGAGACGGGGAGGGAAGCUUUUUCAGUGCCUGCCUGCGAGAGUGAAUGGAUUGUGUCCUCGUUUAAUAGAAUUUGGAGAAAUCGAAUAUUUGUGAUUAGGUCACUGACUUCAAAUUAUCAGUAUAUUUGUCCUUUGGAAUACUAUACAUAAUUCAGUUGAUGCAAUAUAGUUUUUAUAAAUAAUGGCACUUUGGAGGCUGGCUUAUGGAAAUUGGCACUGCAAAUAAUUUUAAAUGUAGAUUAAAGAAUGUAGAACGACAUUUCCUUAUUGACUCAAUUUUCACGAUUUUUUUCCCCUCAUUUCUCUUUGAUUCCUAAGGCAGAAUUAGAAUUUCUCUCGGGAAGACCCCAGAGUAUUUUUUGAUUCAUGCCUGCUCAUGUACCUGUAAUAAGGAGUGAACCAUAAUGUGAAAAAAUUUCUUUCAUUGAAUAUAAAAUAUAAUAACUUCCAUUCACGGGCACUUUCUAUUUUCAUAAACGAGCUACACACCUUAUAUUUUCUCUAUUAUUGUGACAACAGUGCAGGCUACAUGCUAUUACUUUCAUUUUAUAAAUGCAGAAAAUGAGACCAAGAAAAAUCAAGUAACUUCUUCCAGUUCUCACAAGCAGGCCUUUUAAGACGCCAAACCAGCUUUUAAAAAACCAUUAUCCGUUGAACUCCUGAGUCCAUGGUCUUUCCUUUAUGCCUAAAAUUCUUUCUUUUGUUUCAUGGCAAGUAUUGCAUGGGGAUUUGUAAUUUCUUGAGUCGGACACUUGAUUCUCUAGAGGUAAAAGGCCCAGUGAUGAUCUCCGCAGAGGAGGAAUUGCUCUUUUAACAACAGCAACAACAGCAAAACUUAGAAAUGAGAGGUCAUGCUAAUGAGAAACAAGGUACAAUAUAGCUGUUGAGGAAAGUGCCAACAUAACUUCUGGCUUUCAGUCUGAGAAUAUAGCUUCUGCUUGUCCCAGUUUGAAUGCAUAUGUAGUCAUUUCCCUUUAUAACUCUCCGUGGACAGAGUUUGCAAUAUCAGAUGUGAGAUGAUAGAAGUAGCUCCCGCUACAGUGAAGCCUAAGGAAGCUAUGGCCUAAAAUAUAAACUCUUUAAAAAAAAAAAAAAAA
rnacentral:lncRNA from 1 species